CAGGGACGUGGGGUACCACGGGUCUGAGAUCCGGACGCCCACGCUCGACAAGCUGGCUGCUGAAGGGGUCAAGCUGGAGAACUACUACGUCCAGCCCAUGUGUACACCAUCCAGAAGCCAGCUGAUCACUGGAAAGUACCAGAUCCACACGGGACUGCAGCACUCCAUCAUCCGACCGACGCAGCCCAACUGCUUACCUCUGGAUAACGUCACGCUACCUCAGAAGCUGAAGGAGGCUGGGUACUCUACACACAUGGUGGGCAAGUGGCACCUGGGGUUCUACCGCAGGGAGUGCAUGCCCACACAGAGGGGCUUCGACUCCUUCUUCGGCUCGCUCCUGGGCAGCGGCGACUACUACACCCACUUCAAGUGCGACAGCCCCGGGAUAUGCGGCUACGACCUGUACGAGAACGACAACGCCGCCUGGGACCACGACAACGGCAUCUAUUCCACGCAGAUGUACACGCAGAAAGUGCAGCAGAUCCUGGCUUCUCAUAACCCCAGGAAGCCCAUAUUCCUGUAUAUUGCCUACCAGGCUGUCCAUUCGCCUCUUCAGGCGCCAGGCAGGUAUUUUGAACAUUACCGCUCGAUAAACAACAUCAACAGGCGGCGGUACGCGGCCAUGCUGGCCUGCCUGGACGAGGCCAUAAACAACGUGACCCUCGCCCUAAGGAAGUACGGCUACUACGAGAACAGCAUUAUCAUUUAUUCUUCUGAUAACGGUGGGCAGCCGAUGGCCGGAGGCAGUAACUGGCCUCUCCGAGGAAGCAAAGGCACCUAUUGGGAAGGAGGUAUCCGCGCCGUCGGGUUUGUGCACAGCCCCCUCCUGAAAAACAAAGGGUCUGUGUGCAAGGAGCUGGUGCACAUCACAGACUGGUUCCCCACGCUGAUCACGCUGGCCGAGGGGCAGAUCGAUGAAGACAUCCAGCUGGAUGGCUACGACGUGUGGGAGACCAUCAGCGAGGGCAGGCGUUCCCCGCGGGUGGACAUCCUGCACAACAUCGACCCGAUCUACACCAAAGCCAAGAACGGCUCCUGGGCCGCUGGCUACGGGAUCUGGAACACGGCCAUCCAGUCUGCCAUCAGAGUGAAUCACUGGAAGCUGCUGACGGGAAACCCGGGGUACAGCGACUGGGUGCCUCCGCAGGCCUUCAGCAACGCGGGUCCCAACCGCUGGCACAACGAACGCGUCUCCUGGUCAGCCGGGAAAACCGUGUGGCUCUUCAACAUCACGGCCGACCCUUACGAGCGUGUGGACCUGUCUGCCAGGCACCCAGAGGUGGUGAAGCAGCUGCUGCGGAGGCUCUCGCAGUUCAACAAGACCGCGGUGCCCGUCCGCUACCCGCCCAAGGACCCUCGCAGCAACCCCAAGCUCAACGGAGGAGUCUGGGGGCCGUGGUUUAAGGAGGACGAUAAGAAAAAGAAGUCGGAUAAAAGCAAAGGUGCAAAGAAGCAGAAGAAGAGCAAGAACAAGAAGAAAGCCAGUCGGAAAAAGGGGCAGUCAUUUCACUGCCGGUCACGUCUUGCUGGUGGGUAAACUCUAAGCAGGCUCCUUGGCCAGGCCUCAGUCAGCCUGGCCCCACUUUUUGAACUUCAGAUGGAAUGGACUAGAAAUGCCAGUUCUGCACUGUGGAUGAAAGUUGUCAUCUUGUAAUUUUGUCUCUGAUUUCACCAGCACAAGAUACUUUAACACUCUGACCCUGUGACAGACUUUCUCCUCCACGGGAUGAGUGGUCCUCACCCAUCACCAGACACAUUCCGGGUAACAGCAGCGAUAGCAUCUUGUUCUAGGAGACUUAGCUUCGAUGGACAAAUGAUGGUUCCUUGCCUUAAUUAUUAGCUGGAAUCUUUGGAGAGCAUGGAGAUGUCAGUGGUAGAUGUUCUCAAACAGGCAGGUGGUUCAGAAGGAGAAAGGAGAAACAAAACCAGAGAACCUCUGUGGGUCAGUGCUAGUCAUCAACCUAUGACCUGUUUUGAUACAACACAGCAAAAACUGAAGCCAUCAGGCUGACUUUGUUGAGGUGCUGGGGAGGGGGGCAUGAUAGGAGGAAAGCUGCUUUAAAUUAGAUUUUGUCCAUAUUAAAUAAUUCUGAAAUAUUUUUAAUAUUUCCUAGAUGUGCUGAGCUCCCCCCAUUUGCAGUAAAACACGACCAACGAGCACACGCCACGUGUAAUUUAUUGCAGGCAUAGACCAAAACGCAUCGCCAAAGUGAAUGUAGUAUUUAAACACUUUAAGAUAACUCUACAACUAUAUGUAAAAGAUAUAACUUAUUUUACAGCACAAUCCUUAUUUCUCUUCCAUUAGAACUUCCUGGCUGAUGCAAGGUACUCACGUGGGUGCCAGGGUUGUCGGGUUCUUUUAACGUUGACUUUUUAAAUUUUAUUUCCACCCUGUCAUUCAGAGUUUAUUUAACAGAUUCAUCUCCUCAGAGUACUGUAAACCAAGGAAAUACUGUAUACACUGCUAGGAUGAGGAAGGAGAGCAAUUCAGGCAGAAUGGGAGUCCUUGAAAGUAACCGGUGCAAGGCAGAGCAGUGGAUCAGUUCUCUGUGUGUUAAAUAAAUGUGCCACAAGACAGUACCUUGGCACUCCCCAGGAGCAGGCUCUUCCUACUGGCUUGGAAAGCCAUUUUACCUACUGCAAACACAGACAGCCUAUGGAAUAAACAGAGCUUCCAACGAGAUCUGCAGGCCUUGGAGCAGGGGCAAGCCAGCUUGAGGGAUGACUGAACACAUAUGAGGGAGCAAAGACAAGGCAGGGGAUCAAGCCAGAAGGAAUUGGCUGCAAAGGAGGGAUUGGCAUUGACAUUAAUGGGAAGGAGAUAUUGCCAUGGUUUGCCAAAAAUGAGACAGAACAUUUUCUUUCCCCCUGAGGGAUAUGCGUUGGAAACAGGCAAAAGGAGUGAAAAUGGAAGGUGGCUCUUCUCCAGACAUCCAGAGAGAACAUUCUGCCUCAGCUGUGCCUCUCCUCUUUCCAUCCUUCCUAUGAAUUUUAUUUGCUUGCCCAUUGGAGAAAAGGAAUAGCAGAAGGCAGCUGUCCUUUGCUUUUUGAUGUACAACCUGCCCAUGGCAUUUUACAACUUCACGUCUUGCUAAACACAAAACUCCUGAAACCAAGUGCUUUUGGGGUGGUGUGAGAGAUGCUCCUGGUCCUGCUUCCCAAACUGCUCCAAAGCUGCCAUGGACAGCAUGGGGACCAAAGGCAGUGAUUUAACCUUUAAUUCAUGAAGAACAAAAGCAACCAAACCACCUCCCAAACGCUACCAGAUGCAAGUGCUGGUGGCUCACAUGGAUGCAGGCUAACCAAUAUAAAAUUCCAAAUGCUUUUAUUUAUCUGCUGCAAUGGACUUCAGUCACAUGUUUCCUUGUGCUAAGCAGCUCCUUGAUGUUUCUCUUGUCAUCUUGAUUCCUGCUGAGACUGGGAAGGUGAUGAGAUAAACAAUACAACCAGAAUCCUGAGAAUUCUCCACAACCUGAAGUAAAGAAGAAAUCUUACAUCAUGGACAGACUCACUUUUCUGCCAAUGAUGGCAACCCAAGACCUGCUUCAUGUUGAAUUAGCCACAAAUGGAAAAAGUGGAGAGACCACCUGGAUUGUGAAUAGCACCAUCACUGUGGAUGGGCAGUGUGGGGCUCUUUGUGUAUCCUGAAGGGAGGACCUACAGCCGUAGGACAAGUACAGAGGGCUGAAAAACAACAGUGUCAACAAGGAAGCAAUGCAGGAACAGAAACCUGAAUCAAUACUCAGUCAGACCCUUUAAUUAUGCAGCUCAUUUUGUACCAGUAUAAGUCAGUCCUUAAUUCUGAAGCAACUUGUGCCUAGGGGAAAGGAGUGCAAGAGACUCUGGUAUCCCCAUAGGCAGCAGCUGAUGGGAAGCACAAUGCACUGCAGAGAGGUAAAGCCUUAACCAGUCGAAUCCAGGAGCACUGGAGGUACCCAAGGAGAAGAAGAUAUGGACCUCAGGAGCAGAAAUUGUGUUAGAAACAGAAGGAGAGAAGAUUGCAGUGCAUUAGGAGGGAAGCUUUUAUCCAAGGUGGCCCUUUGGAGUGACUGCUCCUAGUCACUCUGAAGGCUGGACAUCACUGAUGCAAUUUAGAGCCCUGAGAGCUGCUCCUCCUGGUGAAACCCAAACACAGCAGCAUGCAGAGCCUGCAAGAAAGAUCCCUACAGAGUGUUUCUUGCACCCUUUGCAUUGCCUGCAGUAAUGGUACCUCUGCUACAACUCCCUGUGUAUCCUGCUGAUCCUUGUUUUCCCCAAGAUAAUACAACAACCCAAGCCUUCUUGUUGGUGAGUGCAUGUAACUGAUGUGAUUCUGCUGUCUACUAAUGUCUGUUACCAUUUCCUGCUGGAUUGAUACAUAUUUCAUUUUGUGUGUCAGCCACACUUGAAUUGAUCCCUGGCAAAUGGUUUUCUAAUGGAGAAACCGAGAAGCAACUUCUCUACAGGAACAUUAUCCAGGAAAUACCAUAUUUUUCUUUCCUCUGGA